rnacentral:lncRNA from 1 species
CACCCCCAACCCACGCAGUACCAGACCACUAACCAACCACCACCGUCGGCUCCCUCCCUUUCUCUCCACUUCCUUCCUCUCUCUCUCUCUCUCUCACCCAAAAACAUAGCCCCCCACGUUCGACGACGAAACCAGCCUUCACCUCCAUAGAGAUAAAUUUGUGGGUUACAGCGGGUGAAGAACUUGGCGACGAAGAGAUGGUGUGGCCUUGGCAACGAACACGAAGAUGACGAAUCUAGAGUGAGGCUCGUCGGAUCUAAAGAGAGGAAGGUUGGCUGGGGCUGGAGAUGGGGAUGGGGCCUUGAUAUGAUUUACCAUACCUGGACUUACCAAACAUGAGAAAACAAUUGAUUUCUCAUCUCCAAGUCUCCUUUCCCAUGAACUAAAAGGGGCCUUGAUAUGAUUGUAAACAGUUAGUGAGUUAGGUGUGCAAGGCACGUGAGUUGUUAGUAGUGUAUAUGAAUUAGUUAGACAACUGUAUAAAGUUUAAUAGUACUGUAGCUUAAAAGAUUAAGAAAUACAGAAAUCAAGAUUGCAAUUCUUAUACAAAACAUGCACUUUUUUUUGUUACUGCCAUAAGGUAAACAAACUAAUUACACAAACUUUCAUUCUCAAAAUAACCCAUCUGUCAAUACAACCACAAAAUAUGAAAUUUUGUUUUUUCUUCUUCAAAUAUCAAUUAAGGCAGAGUCUUCACACGAGGUAGAAUUGAUAUUGGUCUUUUGAUAAUAAAAUUCCUUUGUUUUAUUUUUCAGAAUCAUACUUCAUUAAAACCGGGAAAGGAAGGAACAACAAAGUAGAAGCCCAAAUAAGAAAAUUUUGUAUUUUUUGGGUACACAACGUGGCUGGUGUACCAUCCAAUACAUAUGGGACAUGUGAAAAUAUUUUAUUUUACAUUCUAUAUGUGUAUUGGACAAUAUUUUCAUAUGUUCUAUGUGUAUUGGAUGGCAAAUUAGCCACAUGGUGUACCUACAACAUGCAAAAGUUACUCCAAAAACAGGUACAUAUGAGAUAGAUUUAACUAGACAGAUAAUUAAAUCUCUUUCUUCAUAAUAAGAACAAAAGUGUAUAUGGAAAAACUUUAUAAAAUCAAGUUCUUUUUUUGAACAAAAGUGUAGGACUCAGGCACCUUAUUAGCAAUUAAUAGAAAAAAAACAAACAAACAAAAAGAAGCACCAGAUCAGACUUUGAGAGACAAAAAGAAGUUUGAAGUAUUCUUGAUGAUAACAAAAGAAGAAUUAAUUUUCGAAACAAGUUCCGAAUGGAUACAAGGGCGAAAGGCUCAUCUUCCAAUUCAUACAAAUCAAGUUCCGAAUGGAUAUUUCCCUUCAUAAGUUUGUCCCUAUCCUCUUAACCAUCACAAAAUCAACUAGAGGCCUUACAAGAUUCGAUACGUGGUCACCGCCUUCCAAACAGAGCACAUCGUUUGACAAAUGUCCCUGCCAAAGAAAUCAAGACUGCAAUUUCUCUUUGUUUCUCUUUCCUUCUUCUUCAGGUAUAUUCCUCAUACUUCUCUGAAUAUGUUGGUUAACAUGGUAUCAGCGCCCACAGUGGUUCUCUCUGUUUCUUUCUCUCAAUUUCAAUUCUAGGGUUUUCUCUCUGCUUCAUCAUGGCUUCUUCUUCCUCCAUCAAGAUUGUUGGCUUGCUCAGUAUGGGUUACCAUUCGUCUCAGUGACAACAAUUUCUUGAAAUGGACUCAUCAACUCCCCCUCAAAAAUCCGAAUUUGUUUCCAAAUCAUACAAAUGAGGAUCCGGAUUAUCCAUAUUUUCCUUCAUGACUUUGUCCCAUUCUAGAUGAACCCCUGUCUUCUUCACUCUCACAAAAUCAACAUCAUCAGGCCUUACAAGAAUGCAGACUCGGUCCCCGCCUUGCAAACAGAGCACAUCGUUUGACAACUGUCCCUGCCAAAGAUAUCCAAGUGCCGAACGGAGCAUAUUUUGAGGGUUACUGUAAGUUCCGAAUGCUAUCCAGGUGCGCAAAGCAGUUUGUUUGGUAAGAUUUCUAACGAUAAUGCCAAUACGACCUUGAGAAUUUUCAAAUUCCGGAUAAUCACAAUAAGACCUUCUUGUGUAAACGAAGCAAAUAGUCAACCCUUUUAAAUCACGACCCAUGAUUCUUUGAGGAACGUUAAAGAAGACGAAAUUGUCCACAUCAUUGACGAUUUUGAACCACUCAGGAAUAUCAUAAAUUCCAUUCAAAUAAAUUCCACCAAAUCCGCAAGAAGUCCAUCUCUGCACACCAGAAGCAAGACAGUCUUAUACAUGCAUGCAUAUACCAUUACAUGGGCAGUCAGAUUGUGUGUGUGUGAGUGUGCGCGCGCGCAAGAGAGAGAGAGAGAGAGAGAGAGAGAGACCUGUAGGAUGUUGUUCCUAAAAUUGGCGGUCAGAUUGGUGCAGCUUUCCAUAUGAAUCCUUGUCAUGGAGUUUAAUGACUUAUCCAAGCCUGGAACCUCAGUGAGUUUGAACGAAUUACUUAGAUACAAUUCUCUCAUAUUCGACAUUUUUGAAAAAUCUGGAAUUGUUUUCAAAUUUGGGCAGACAUUUGCUUUCAGAACAUACAAAUUGGUUGGUAAAUCUGGGAUUGCAAGAAGUUUUCUGCACGCAUUUAAAGACAAGACCUUGAGCUUUGAAAGACCAGCGAGACUUGGCAGGCUACGAAAAUUAUUGGCUCCAAGAAGCAGAUGUUCUAAGGAAAUUAGGCUACAUAGAUCCUUAGGGAUUGCAUCCUCAGUUAACCGACAGCAGCCUGCAAGACGUAACUAAAGAGUUGAAGGCAUGUAACGAAAGGGGUAAAAGAUGGAAUUUCAAAAUUCUCACCAGAUAGAGAUAAAAUUCUCAACUUCUUCAAUUUUACUAUGGAAGAUGGAAUUUGUCUGAUGGCUGUGUAAUCCGCUUUCAGAGUUGUCAAUGAUACCAUGUCUCCUAAGCCCUCAGCCAACUUUCCAAAAUUUAAACAAACAUUAAGUAGAAGAGUUUCAACAGACUUGGAUUUAUAGAAAUUCAGUGGGAGAUCCUUUAGAUGGGUGCAGCGUUGAAGAUUUACCAAAGAAAGUCUUCCAAGAUCCCCGAUGGAUGAGUGAACCUUGGACAGACUCUCACAGUCUUGCAAUAUCAAUUCCUCGAGAUUUGGGAGUUUUGAAAAGUCUGGUGAUUUUGUUAGCCAAUGGCAAUAGCUGAGAUUUAGGAUUUUCAAAUUCUGAUGCAACUGUUACACAAAAACAAAAUUAGAAUGGAAAUUAAAAUCCAAAAGGAAGGUCUCUGAUACAGAAAUUAAACCAAAAUGAAGAGAAGGUGAAGUAUAAUAUAUGUAUAGAACCACAAGGAAAGAACCAACAACAACUAGUUUUGGUUGAGAUUAUUAUACCUUGCAAUCCUUCCAAACUAUUUUGAGUUUGCUAUGCCGCAGGUCUAAAGCAACUAGUUUUGGUUGCGUAGGAAAGUCAUCUGGUAUGGACUCUAAAGGAAAAUAAUGCCAGCACAACCAUAUUAGCCUUUUGGGAAAAUCUUUGUACUCUCCAGUGAGCUUUACUCCGCUGAGGUGGAGUAACCUCAGUUUUUUCAUGUUGGUAAAUGCUUGUGCUCUAGCCCUGUAACAGCCAUGUAGAGCAACUCCUUCAAUUUCGUCAGUUCCCUGUUAACAAAAGAUACCGAGUUAGAAAAAUGAUUUACAAACAUGAAAAUCCGUGUAUGCAUUAACCAAAAGGUAUAAUUUUGUAUUGGACCAUGUUAACAAAAGAUACCGAGUUAGAAAAAUGAUUUACAAACAUGUAAAAUCCGCGUAUGUAUUAACCAAAAGGUAUAAUUAAUAGUAUUGGACCAUGUUACGCCCUAUAGUUUGUGUUUGCAAUCAGAGCACAUAUUUUUUGUUGGUUAUGACUAAUUGAGCUUUGAUAUAAAAGGAUAUAAUAUAAGAAAUGACAACGGAGUCUAGUAAAGUGAAAAAUGGUCUAAACUUACAGACUAAGGUCUGAGGUUCAAAUUCAUAUGGCACUUUGGUAGUGUGGAUGUGUGAGAAUCCCCUCUUUUACUUUGGUUUAGACUAUCGUUUGAACAAAACAAAACAAAAAAGAAAUGGAAGAGGACAUUUUAAUUUAUUAUAGACACAGGAUACAUAUGCUUCUCUUGCAUGAUGCAUUCUAAAAACUUUAUUGGGAAAGUACUUACAGAUUCAUCGCUCAAUACAUUUAUUAUGUCUUCACAUUUCCACAAUCUACUAAAUUUUUCAGGGCGACCGUGGGCAUUUUCAUAAACGAUCUCUCUUCCCAUGUCUCGAAGCAAAUCAUGCAUCAUCAGCUUGUUUUGCUCACUAACAGUUACAAGGCCCCGUUCAAUGAGGACACGGAUUCCUAUCGUUGCAGAAAAGCCACAUCCAUCUAAUAUUUGUGUGACAUAGUCCUUGUCCAUUCCAAUAAAGAAACAAGAUAUAUCAAGGAAUGUAUUUCCGUAUGUACGGUCAGGUAGCCCGUCAAAGCUUAUUCUCAGUAUUUUUGAAACUGCUUCAUGAGGACUUCUUUCCAAUCUCUCCAAUUGGCUUUCCCAUUCUAAUGCGGUUCUUUUAAUCAAAAAAGACCCUACAACUCGAAGUGCUAGUGGCAAGCCUUGACAGUAACGAAUUACACGUUUUGAGAGGUGAAGGUAUUCUUGAUCAGGAUCACCUCUUUUGAAGGCAUGCCAACUAAAGAGCUCUAGAGCUUCUUCCUCAUCCAUUUCCUGAGCCAUAUAUGUGCUAUCCACUCCAACUUGGUCUAGCAAAUGUUUAUUUCUUGUUGUUAUAAUAAUUCUACUCCCAGGACCAAACCAAUCACGAGCUCUAGCUAUUGCUUCUAGUUGUUGUAGAUCAUCUGCAUCGUCAAUUAUGACAAGUGCUCUUUUACAGUGAAGUCUUUCUUGUAUCACAGUGAUCCCUACAUCAACAGAAUCAACCUUUAUGGGGUCCUUGCUUUUCAAGAUAUCAUUUAGAAGUUUUUCUUGCAAACCAACCAGACCAGUAAUGGGUUGGUUUGCAAUUACUCCCCUCACAUUUGCAAGGAAACUCCUACCUUCAAAGCUACCUACAAAUUUGUUAUAAAUGGCUUUGGCAAGCGUUGUUUUCCCAAUGCCGCCCAUCCCCCAAAUACCAAUCAUGCGAACAACAUCCUUAGAACCUGAAUUUUCAAUAUCUAAGUGUUUACUCAAAACCUUCAUCCGAGAAGUAAUUCCAACAAGGUGUUCGAUGUCUAAUUGGUAUGUGUUGUACAACUGCUUAUUAACCUCCCGAAGAAUUUUCUUGAUAAACUUUGCUUCAUACCUGGCAAUUAAACUACGAACCAUUCGAUGUGGAACAAACUACAAUAAAUUGAAUCCCUAACUUAAUAAUUUAGAAUGACCAAAUUAUUUUCUUUUUUUAUACAUAGUUAACAAUUUAGAUAUAAUUAACAAUUCAGAUUGGGAUUUAACAUUAUCAAAUAAGAAAGAAUGCAUAGUUAAAACAUAGUUUGAAAAACAAAAACAAAAACAAAAAGGACAGAAAACAUAUGGUUGUCAAGUAAGGAGAUGAUAAUCCAAGGAACAAGAAAUUAGUAAUUACCCAUCAGCAUUUUUAAGAUCUUCCCCACACAAAUCUGCAGCUUGAGUGAGAGCAUUUCUCCACCGCUUUACCUUUUCUUUCUCAUGUUUACCUUCACAGAUGCCCGCUUCAUGUUUCGCAAAUGCUAGUGCAAAACUACCAGUUUGUUUCCGGACAUCUGAAGCAUCAACAUUAUAGAACAAUGGAAUAACCUUUUGCCCCAAUCUUUCUCUACACUCCAUGAUCUUCACCAGCUCGUCAAGACACCAAGUGGAAUCGGCAUAACUCUUGGAGAAGACAAUUACGGAGAUCAUGGACCCGUCGAUUGCCCGCUCCAGUUGGGUUUUUAUAAAUUCCGCUCUUUCUAGCUCGUUGUCGUCAAGAAAGGUGCUGAUUCCGGCAUCAGAUAAUGCUUCGUGGAGGUGGCCUGUGAAGCCCUUGCGUGUGUCUUCACCUCUGAAGCUCAAGAACACUUGGUACUUCCAACGUUUUGAUGAGGAGGAUGGUGAGGAAGAAGAGGGGGCUUUAUGGGCUUUCCUGGCAUCCAUUAAUUGAUACUGGUUCAGAUUAGACUAACUACAAAUUGAUACUGCCUUCCGAUCCGACUUGACCAGAAGAAGUUCUCAUAAUUUUUAUUUUUUAUUUUUCUGGGCAGUGGUUUGGCCUUGAGCAGCAGAUGAAUGACGAAUUAUAGUAACUUGUUCCAAGCCGAGACAUAAACAAAGACAAGGCUAAUCUUUCUAAAACAAAAAAGACUCGAAAUAAUUGAACUACCCAAAGUCAAGGUCAAGGCCUUCGAACGUUUCAGUCAACAGAAGCAAAGUCCCUACCCUACGUUCCUUCCAACACGUCAUUGACGCGGAGAGAGGCAAAGAGAGCGUGGAAGAUCAGUGUGGACAGAGGGUAAUUUUCUGGAAGCAACCAAAACCAAGGGUCGCUUUCUGUGGCUGCUGGCUACACGAUCUGCUGGACGGCUACGAUUGAAGGUCAGGAAAAUGCAAGGAAGCUUAGGGGAAAUAGGCAUGAAAAGAGGAGCCCAGCACAAUGUCCAAUCAAAAAAGAAAAAAGUAAAAACACAAGUCCAGUACUCAGGCCCACCUCUCCAGUACAACUGACAAACGGGUCGUGAUAAUGGAUUUUGGGUUGUUUUCGUGUGUUAACUUAACGAGUUAACACGAUUCGACAUGUUAAGUUAAUGAGUGGCAAAUAUUAGACUCAAACACGACCCGUUAUAAUUUGCAAAUAUCCGACAUAACCCAUUAAGAAUAAACAAGAAAAAAAAAAGUACUCUUGAGAAGGAAACAUAGAGAGAAGAGAGAAGACGAAAACUUGGGAAAUAGCAAGAAGAAGAAAAAACCGUGCCAGGGAAAGAAGAAGAAAACUAUGCCAAGGAAAGAAGAAGAAAACAAGAAGAGGAAAAAGAUAGAGAGGAAUAAAAAAACAUUAUUUAUUUUUUAAAUUAAUUAAAAAAUUUAAAACAAAAUAUAUAAAUAAUAUAAAUGAUUAAAAUAACAUAAACUUAAAUAAUUUAAAAAUAAUAAUAAUAAAAGGACUACCCCAUCCCCCAUCCUAACCAAUAUCCACCAUACCUACCCACCCCCUACCCACGCAGUAUCAGACCACCAACCAACCACCACCGGCGGCUCCCUCCCUUUCUCUCCACCUCCUUCCUCUCUCUCUCUCUCUCUCUCUCUCCAUAAAACAUAGCCCCCCACCUUCGACGACGAACCCAGCCGUCACCUCCAUAGAGAUAAAUUUGUGAGUUACAGCGGGUGAAGAACUUGGCGACGAAGAGAUGGUGUGGCCUUGGCAACGAACACGAAGACGACGAAUCUAGAGUGAGGCUCGUCGGAUCUAAAGAGAGGAAGGUUGGCUGGGGCUGGAGAUGGGAAUGGGGGUCGGAUCUCUGUCAAUCUCCCUCUCUCUCUGUGUCUUUGUCUCUCUCUGUCACUAUCUAUCUCAGUCUCUCUAUCUGUUUAGCAGAUGUGGCUGGUUGCGCGGCGAGGAAGGGGUGUGGUCGCCGAAGCUAUGAACCCGCGGAGGAGGCAUGGGUGCCUUGAUAAAUUUUUG